rfam:Microgenomates bacterium GW2011_GWA2_46_16 TX37_C0007, whole genome shotgun sequence.
GGCCGGAUAUCCGAGGUGGUUCAGGAAGCUGUCUGCAAAACAGCGUACGCGGGUUCAACUCCCGCUCCGGCCU